GUAGGUGGCAAGCGUUGUCCGGAAUUAUUGGGCGUAAAGCGCGCGCAGGCGGUCCUUUAAGUCUGAUGUGAAAGCCCACGGCUCAACCGUGGAGGGUCAUUGGAAACUGGAGGACUUGAGUACAGAAGAGGAAAGCGGAAUUCCACGUGUAGCGGUGAAAUGCGUAGAGAUGUGGAGGAACACCAGUGGCGAAGGCGGCUUUCUGGUCUGUAACUGACGCUGAGGCGCGAAAGCGUGGGGAGCAAACAGGGAUUAGAUACCCUGGUAGUCCACGCCGUAAACGAUGAGUGCUAAGUGUUAGGGGGGUUUUCCGCCCCCUUAGUGCUGCAGCUAACGCAUUAAGCACUCCGCCUGGGGAUACGGCCGCAAGGCUG
rnacentral:rRNA from 1 species